CAGCAGCCGCGGGAAUACGUAGGUGGCAAGCGUUGUCCGGAAUUAUUGGGCGUAAAGGGCUCGCAGGCGGUUUCUUAAGUCUGAUGUGAAAGCCCCCGGCUCAACCGGGGAGGGUCAUUGGAAACUGGGAAACUUGAGUGCAGAAGAGGAGAGUGGAAUUCCACGUGUAGCGGUGAAAUGCGUAGAGAUGUGGAGGAACACCAGUGGCGAAGGCGACUCUCUGGUCUGUAACUGACGCUGAGGAGCGAAAGCGUGGGGAGCGAACAGGAUUAGAUACCCGCGUAGUCCCUGUCUCUUAUAC
rnacentral:rRNA from 1 species